rnacentral:misc_RNA from 1 species
GAAGGCAGAUAUCUUUCUUGCGGAUGGAAGAAUACAGUGGGGCCGUAGUGUUUAAUAAGGGCGUGGAUCUGCUCCAAAUUUGGCAUUGCGUACAAGGAGGAAUCGAGGUUCUUUAAGCAACAUAUGCUCAUUUCAUCCUCAAAUAUAUCAUACAUACUGCAUAGGAACGUCCCAACCGGUACACCCUUUCCCCACAUCCCACGAUGCGAAGGCCUUG